UCAGCAAUCGUAUUGUAAAGCAGUCAUGUAAGGCUAUUAAUAAAUAAACAUAAAGCCGACAACAAGGUAACAAUGCAAUCAUUCUUCUAUAGCAGAACGUAAUCAACAUGGCACAAGUGUGAGCCAAGGAUAGAAAUGUAGCGGGGACUACUUAAACGUUUGGAUUUCUUAUAAUGAAUGUCUUAGAAGAAACUGACUUACACAUAUAGAGCUGAAAUUGCAAUGGUAUUACCAUUUCAAUUACACCUAUUAUUAUAAAUUUAUAAUACCUCCUAUUUUUUUUUUUUAGAUGCAUCACUUUUAAAAUCACGGACUCCGAGGUAAUUAUAGGAGAUGAGAGAGCGAGAUAAUUUAUUUACUGAAAAGGAAGGUGAUGCAUGUAUAUUGAAACUUCUAAAUAAAACAUUGAUGUAUCUAAAAAAAAGAGGAUGAAAACUAAGCUUACCAACAAAGAGGGGGGGAAGGGGGGGGUGGACAGAAAAGAGAGAUUGAAAAUAUUGCUAGUAGUGUUUAAAAAAAACCCUCCCCAAUCCCCAUUCAAUCAAUUAUCUGCUCUGCAAAGAUAAUUUCCAUGGGAGUAAAAAGCUACAAUCACAUGCUAAGCUUUCCUUGCCCAUUUGUUAUUUCAUCCUAAAUUGUCUCUAAGACAUUAGCCAGAAAAUGAGUCAGGGAUAUUAGAAGAGGAAAUGGCUACCUCUAAUGACCUGGGAAGUAGCAGCAUAGGCAUUAGGGGCACAGCAAGAAGGCAGGCAUGAUGAACAAAUCAGAAUGCAUUUUAUUUAAUCACUUCAUAGUAAAAGGUACUAAUCAUACUCCUUUUGAUCCUAACUGAACAACAUACAACAUAAUAUCGUAUGUGCGAGAUGCGAUAGUUCCAAUUCCCUUUCACUUAAUGUUCAGAUAAGGAAAUUUGGAGACGGGAAAGGAAUGGUAAGUAAAGUAUCUACUUUUCCAUAAUUGAAUGAGAUGAGAAACGAAAGAGAAGAAAUUGGACGCAUAGCCAGUCAUACUCAAAGAUGAAGACCAUUUGAAGGUUGUUGUCAAAAGAAAGUAUUUUAAAAACCACAUAUAAAAUCUUGUGCGUCAAUCCUUGCAAACACAAUGCAUGUGAGUAGAUGAGUGAACAAGUGUUAAAGCGUUCAUGAAUGAACAGAAAUAUGUGAACAUGCGUAAAAGAGUCUUAGGGGCAUACUUUGGUCAAUUGCCUUGGAACCCAAAUAUUAGAAGCAAAUUUGCAGCCAAAGUGGCUCAAUCAGUCAUCACUUUCCAAGGCUUCAUAAUAUACACUCCAUAAUUAUUAAAUAGAUAGCCCAUCCAUCAGAUACAACGACAACAUAGGGAUUACUUGGUAACCCUACUAGAGAUACAAAAAGUCAUAUGAUGCAAAAUGUAUAAUAAACUCAAAAAUGAGUCAUACUUACACUACUCAUGUUAGUUUUUAAAACUCACUGUUGAACUAUACUAGGGGUCGUUUGGUUGGAUCAUCUAGAAUGGAGUUAGAAUCUAGUUUUUGGUUUGGUUGUGGUUUUUAGUGAGGGAAUCUCAUACCCAAGGGGUUCUAACUCUCCCCCAUACCCAUGGAAUCCCAUACCCACCCCUCCCCCUAAUAUUCACAAUACAUUCCAUUAAUGAAGGAUGGAAUCCAUUCCAACAAUAAAACCAAACAACUUUGGACAAGUAUGGUUUUUAGAAUUCAUACCUCUCUACUAUGAGAUUUCAUACCAAUCCAUUCCAACUUGAUGAACCAAACACCCCCUUAGUUAUAUUCAUAUUAUUUUCUAAGGAAAAAAAAAAAAAAAAGAUAAUGCACAAACACUUAGCAUAUGAAUUACAGCUGAACAACCACCACAGUCGUCCUUUUGUGGUAUUGCCACACAAUUUUAACUCGCAAACAACAUGUUUCUCCUUUAGGACGCGUAAUUCUGGAUGGGAGUUUAAAGUCCUCAUCCAUUUGGGGCAAUGGAAGGCUUCCUUGUAAAGAUAAGUGUCUAAACACAAAUAUGUAUUAAUGUUUUGUAAUUGCCCCAUACGAACGAGAACUUGAUCCUCCCAUCCAAAUUACGAGUCCAAAAGGACUCGGUCUUAGGGGCUAGAAAAGCUGACAACUAAUAAGGAUAAUACGCUUAUAUUAAAGGUGCUUCUUACUUUAAAAAAUUUGUAUGCACUAACCCUUAUUGGAUUUUCCUGAUAUUAAUGUCCUCUAAGAUUACCAUACAUAGAGUACAUUUUCAUCCUAUCAACAUUUAUUCACAUUACAUUGAUACACAUUUGGUAUUUAUAUAAAAAAAAAUAAUAAUAAAAAAUAAAAAAAUCCCCUCAUUAACAACACCUUUAAGCAAUAGUGUGAAAUCAGCAUACAUAAUAACAAACACUCUCAGUGGCGGACCUGGGCUUGUGCCUGGUGGGUCAAGUGACUCACCAGGGCCCAAAAAAAAAUUUCAGUUUUUUUUUUAAAAAAUAAAAAAUAAAAAAUAAAAAUAAAAAAAAUAAAAAAUUCUAACGUCUGAGUUAGCCCUAGCCCACUUCGCCCUAGCCCACUUCGCCAGUUCGCCUCUUCCUCUUCGCAAGUUCGCAUCUUCCUCUUCGCCUCUUCCUCAGACCUCAGUUCCUCUUCGCUAGUUCGCUUCAUCUUCCUCUUCGCAUAAUUUCAGGUUAGUCAUCUACUCAUCUACUCAUCUUUCGGCUUUUUUUUUAUUUAUUUGUGAAAUGUAAAAUGUUAGUUAUCAACUCAAUCCCUAAUUGACUAAUUGUUCAUAAUCUACUGCUCUUCGCUAGUUUGCUCAGGCUGUGCUGCUGGCCUGCUGGCUGCUGCUCGCCUAGUCGCUUGCUCCAGCCUCCAGUGCUCUGUGCAGCUGUGCUCUGUCCUCUGUCCUCUGCUGCUCGCCUAGUCGCCUGCUCCAGUGCCUAGUCGCUGACUUGCUGUCUUGCUGAGUGUUGGGCAUGGCCCUGCUGCAGUGCUGCUCCGCCUGCUCCGCUGCUCGCCUCAAUCAUUCAGCGCCUGCCGCCUCCGCCUAGCAAGGGAAGACUCAGCUUAUCAAUCAUUUUCUAAUCAACAAGAGUUGGUAUAUUGUUAAUUUGUCUGGAUAUGGGUGAGUCUCUGUAAUUUUGGUUUUAAUUUGGGCAAUUUCUGUAAUUCUUGAAUCUAUUUCAUGCUGGGAAAAUUGUAUACUUGUAUUGUGAAUCAAUUGUUAUUCGUGUUUAUUCCUGAUCAUAUGCUUGAAUCAUAUUGAAGUGCCAAAAAAGGAUUGCUUUUACGCCUUGAGGCAUUGCUUCAAAAUUAUUGAUCAUCCUGGAAAACAUGUUGCGGACUGAUAUGUAUUUAGGCUACAUCCGCUGUAGUUAAUUUGGUCUCCAAUCGUGUUGUUUAUUUUCAAGUUUAGGAAGUAAAUGUCUCCUUACAUGU